AAGAAAAGAAAGAAGGGAGAGAUAGGUGAAAUGCGAGUAUAGAGAGAGAGAGAGGAGAGAAGAGAGAGAUUGAGGUGGCUGGAAAAGUGGCUGCCGACGAGCAAAACUUCGGUGAUCGGAAAGAGUGGAGGAAGAUCAAGCACAGGGGAGGGGGACUUGUGUAUGGAGGAUUUAUUGGAUUUGUAUAUAGGGAGGGAAGUGAGGGCACCAUUAGAGGAUUUCAAUCCUUCUUCGGAUCAAGGAUUCAACUUCUAAAAGAUUUGGCAUUGUAAUUUGAUUGUAACAACAAAUUAUGAUCAUAUGAACAAAUAUCAAUGUAAUUUUGUCCCCUAUCGUAAGAUUGAUUACCACUUUUGGCAAAGGAAGAAGUUUCGACAUUUUUCUAGACUUGGAGGUCGUCAUACACUAUGUUGGUCAACUCUGCCCGUAGCUUCCCCUGCACUAACAAUUUCAAGUAGUGUUGGAUUGAAUAAGAUGAGUGAUAAUGUCAACUGGUCCAUUGAGAUAACCCGCAAAUUUCUUGUUCUGUUGUCUGAACGUGCAAAAACUUCUCACGGUACUUCUAUUAAAUCAAUAGAUUACCAGAAUAUGUUGGGUGAUUUAUCAUCAUUGGCUGGGAAGAGACUCAACGUCACACAUUUAUCUUCUAAGUUCUUUUGCUUGAAAAAAGUAUAUCAAGCUUGGUAAAAAUUAUUUCAACACACGACGUUCGGUUGGGAUCAUGAGUCCCAAACUCCAACACAUUCCUUAGAGGUUUGGGAAGAAUAU